GGAUCAUUACCAGUCUCCGACCACCCCGUGAACCUACUAGCGUACCUUAGCCCCCCGACCGGGGGCCGGGCGCCAGACCCGCCUAACGUACUCUAAGGAACGUGAGUAAAAACUCUUAGUAAUAGAUCUCUUAGCUCUAGUAUCGAUAAAGGACGUAGCGAAAUACGAUACGUAAUGCGAAUUAUAAGCCCCGCGAACCAUCGAGUCUUUAAACGUAUACUACGCCCGCCGGUCCCCAGCGGGCACGCCCGUCCGAGCGUCGUACUACCCCUCGGGUACCGCCCAGCGUUAGGGGACCAUGCCCGCAGCCCCCGAAACAUAACGGCGAACCCCUAGCCCGUACGUAGUAGCGCUUACGCUACGGCGCUAGGGGCCCUACCGGGAUAUAGACGGCCGACCUC
rnacentral:rRNA from 1 species